GCGCCCUCCUCCAGGGGAUCUUCCUGACCCGGGGAUGGAACCCUCGUCUCUUGCGUCUCCUGCCUUGGCAGCGGGCUCUUUACUGUUAGUGCCACGCAGGGCCGCGGGACGAUCAGCUGUUUGUCUUCGACCCUUAAAGUGCAAAGAAAAGAAAAGCCCCAGCUACGGCUGUGACCCUGGACUGCAGGGGCCCCAUGGGGCCUCGCCGUGGGCCCUCCUGGAUGCCCGUGUCCACACCCGAGUCCCCACCUGCCCAGCAGAGGAAGCCUCUGCCCAGAGCUCUGGACCCCAAGCUCCCUGAGGGCAAGGAUGGCAUUCAACCAUUUACCCAGACCCGCACACAAGGCAGGCGUCCGCCUCUCAGGGACCCUGUCACUCGUCCCUGGGCACGUGGAGGACCUAGGAGGCACGGGACAUGUCCAAGCUGGCCAGUGAACGGCCGGGUCUGGACCUGAACACGUAGCUGUCUGCCUUCCAAGUGUGGGUUCGUUCUAACCACACACGUGUCUAAACGGAGACACCUGGGAUCCCAUGUCACGAAUCUCAGACCUUGACGACGCUCACGUCCCCAGCCUCCAGGUUCACCCUGGAGGCCUUGACCCCAGGCACCUCUCACUGACCAGGGUUCUAGGUGAGAGAAUCAGAGCUGUCCACAGGGCUCCUGGGCAGGAAGGUGGGGCCACACGGAGGUUGUUCCUGGCACCUCCGGGUUGGUUUCUCUUUUCUACAGCAGUGUGUAGGCUGCAGUGUUUAAUGUCUAAAUGAGAGGAUGAUUUUUUUUUAAUGUUGGAUCCUGGGAGAAAUAAUAUGUAUGAUUUUCUGCUACCAGGCUGUGCUGAACAUUCAUCGGUUUUCCGAGAACCAACCCAAAGCAAAGGGAGGAUGGAGCACCGCUGCUGGCAUGAUUCGGAGGGUGUGCCGCCGAGGAGACGCCCCUGGGGGCCGAGUGAUAAAAGAGGCUGGGCCGCGGGCCACAGCCGGCCCGCCCCAGCCCCACUCGCUGUCCCGCAGCCCAUGGCAGAGUCGGCCUGGUCGUCAUGGACACGGGGCGUCUCCGAGGAUGCAAGGACUCCCAGAGACCCAGCCUUGGAGGGGGAGUGGGUGUGGGGGGCUCGGAGGGCCCCCACUCCCGAGGCCCCUGAGGUCGGAUGAUGCUCCCCCGCUCCCGCCGUGGAUCUGGCUCCCGGGAAGUGGGACCCUCAGCGUCUGCAGAGCCCGCCCGGAGCCGCGGAAGAGGACGGCUUCCCAGCCUCGACGACCCGCGCUCUUCCUGUGUCUUCCUGUAAUCUGACUCUUGAUUGCCGCCCUGGAGGGGGGCCCGGGGACCUUUGAUCUCCCCGCCCCCGGACGCUGGGCCUCUGGUCUGGCUGAGUUUGCGGGGAGCAGCAGUCGCCGUCCUGUGCGGGAGCCUCAGGCCCAAAUUGAUGUCAGGUUCCCGGCCGGCGGAGUGUUACCUGGAGCUUUGAAACUCGUAAUGACUCCAGACCGUCUUCUCAAGUCAGCGGCUACAAAUGCUAAUAAAAUUAAAGCCGCCGGAGAGUUCAGCCUGGCGACCCUUUGAAAAACUACAACUGCUCAAACGUUUCUACUGUGAAGAAAUAAAAGAUGGAGCAAGUCCUGGAAGUCCGCACAGGCCCACAUUAGGGACAGCAGUAAUCUCGCCUCCUCUCUGCGGGAUUUUCCAUUUCCUGGUGGUUUUCUAAUCUUUGCACGUUGGAAAGUAAAGAUGCUUGGGGUUGUUUAUAAUAAGAGGGGGGGC
ensembl:lncRNA